UUCGAUUCCGGAGAGGGCGCCCGAGAAACGGCGACCNCAUCUAAGGAAGGCAGCAGGCGCGCAAAUUACCCAACCCUGACACAGGGAGGUAGUGACAAGAAAUAACAAAGCAGGCGCUUUUGCGUUCUGCUAUUGGAAUGAGUAGAAUUUAAAUCCCUUUUCGACUAUCCAUUGGAGGGCAAGUCUGGUGCCAGCAGCCGCGGUAAUUCCAGCUCCAAUAGCGUAUGUUAAAGUUGUUGCGGUAAAAAAGCUCGUAGUUGGAUUUCUAUCGAGGACGACCGGUCCAUACAAUGUAUGUGCAUCUGGCUCGGCUUCGGCAUCCUCUCGAUACACGUUUCUGUGCUUGAUUGCAUGGAGCGGGGCUCGGGACUUUUACUUUGAGGAAAUUAGAGUGUUCACGGCAGGCUAUCGCCAGAAUACAUUAGCAUGGAAUAAUACUAUAGGAUCUCGGUUCUAUUUUGUUGGUUUCUAGAAUUGGGAUAAUGAUUAAUAGGGACAAUUGGGGGCAUUCGUAUCAAGGCGCCAGAGGUGGAAUUCUUGGAUUGCCUUGCGACGAACUACUGCGAAAGCAUUUGCCAAGGAUGUUUUCAUUGAUCAAGAACGAAAGUAAGGGGAUCGAAGACGAUUAGAUACCGUCGUAGUCUUUACCAUAAACUAUGCCAACUAGAGAUGGGGCGUCGUUCUUACAUGACUCGCUCCGCACCUUAUGAGAAAUCAAAGUCUUUGGGUUCCGGGGGGAGUAUGGUCGCAAGGCUGAAACUUAAAGGAAUUGACGGAAGGGCACCACCAGGAGUGGAGCCUGUGGCUUAAUUUGACUCAACACGG
rnacentral:rRNA from 1 species